AUGCUAUUUCUAGAGAUAGAAAGUUAACUUGGUACAUCGGUGACAGGUGGUGCAUGGUUGUCGUCAGCUCGUGUCGUGAGAUGUUGGGUUAAGUCCCGCAACGAGCGCAACCCCUAUUGUUAGUUGCCAUCAUUCAGUUGGGCACUCUAGCGAGACUGCCGGUAAUAAACCGGAGGAAGGUGGGAUGACGUCAAAUCAUCAUGCCCCUUAUGACCUGGGCUACACACGUGCUACAAUGGUUGGUACAACGAGUUGCGAGUCGGUGACGGCGAGCUAAUCUCUUAAAGCCAAUCUCAGUUCGGAUUGUAGGCUGCAACUCGCCUACAUGAAGUCGGAAUCGCUAGCAAUCGCGGAUCAGCACGCCCGCGGUUCCGAAUACGUUCCGGGCCUU
rnacentral:rRNA from 1 species